UUUCAGAUCACCCAUUCUGUUAAAGAUGGAAGGGACCUUACAGGUCAGCCGAGUCUGGUCUCCACAUUUUCCCGGUGGGGAAACAGGCCCAGGUUCACUGAGGUUUACCAAGGUUCACCCAGUAAAUGUCCAAAGUAGAAUGUUAUAGAGAGAUGAACACUCUCUAUUGUUUCUCUACCCUCUAAGAACUCUGAUACACAAAGGAGCUCUAAAAACCACAUGGAUUCCAUUUCCCUUAUGCUAUUUGCCCUUAGCAGCUGUUUCUCUCCUGCCUGCCACCCAAUGCACAAAUAUACAGACACACCUUAUAUUAGCUGGAUCCAGGAAAUCUCCAGUAAUGGGAAGUCUUGUUGUUGGGACCAGAGGAGCAGCCGCACUGGAGGCUCCGGCAAAUUGAAUGAGCUGAAAACCAGGCUGCCUUGGAUUCCUGUACUGACCGGCCCUACCUUGACUGUCCGACCUUACGCUUAUUCUCCGGAGGGACAUUUGUGCUUUGUGGAAGAGGCAUAAAGAGGAGGGAAAACCUGGGUAGGGGAGUGGAGUGGAAUUGGCAGGAGAAGAAGAAAGAGCAUGCGCCACUGUGACCUUCCCAUUAUCCUGCUAGGAAAACUGAGUCUCUCCAAAGAGAGGGGGCAGUGAGGAGGUUCAUCAUUCCAGGACUUCCAGGUAACUAACUAUGGGGCUACUGAUGAACCAAAACCUAAAUAAUGCUGAAUUCCUGGAAUGUGGAAAGAGACUGGCACAGAGAAUAGAAAAGGGGAGAUUGAUGGGAGAGGGUUGGGAUGCAGGGAGAGACUGACAGCCCCCAGCACUGACUAGGAAUCAAGCUUGGCCUAUAGUCUUGGGAGAAACCUUCAGGGGGUGAGCUGUAUCCAGUUCUUACUGGCUCUCCUGGAGCCCACUGUUUCUUUUUCUGCAAAUCAGGGCUUGACCAUUCUUUUGUUAAGAAAGCAAUGUCGGCAAUGUGGAUGUUGCAGAUUAAACUUAAAAAGUUCCCACCCCCAAAGAGCUGGUUGUUAAACACUGUCUUUAAGCUUCAAGGAGUUGGGGAGGAGAGAGCUAGAAGAAAAAUGGUAACCCACAGACACACAACCAAGAGGGUCUUUAGAAAACAUCAAAUCCACUUCCCUCAGACACUUCCCAGCUGUGUGACCCUGGGCAAGUCACUUAACCCCCCUUGCCUAGCCCUUACCACGCGUCUGCCUUGGAACCGAUACACAGUAUGGAUUCCAAGAUGGAAAGUGAGGAUUAAAAAAAAAGAAAACAGAAAACAUCAAAUCCCCUCAUUUUACCGACCAUGAAUCCAAGACCCAAAGAGAAGUGAUUUCCUGGGGUCACAAAGGAGUAAACAGCAGAGUUAACAUUCCAGCCUAAAGCUUCUGAUUUGCAGACCCGUAUUUUCUACUCCUCUGGGGUCUGAGAAUCGCAGAGUGGAGCCAAACUGUUGCUGGUGGUGGCGGUGGGGCGAGGAUUCUAGUUGCCUUUUCACUUGCUCUCUUCUCUCCCCAGAACAGACCCUGGUCCUGCAUGGUGGUUCACUUCCUCGGAUCUUGGAGGAACCUUAUAGGGCCCGGUGUUGGGGAGACCCUAGUGACAGACCCUGUUCUGGGUUUCAGUGACCCCAGAUUCUGUGCUCCAAGGCCAGGGUUCCUGCUACUGCCUUCCCUGUUCAGGAAACAGGUAUUAAGCAUCUAGGCUCGCGUGGCACAGCAGAGAGUGAGCUGGGGGUCAGAUGUGGGUACAAAUGCUCUCUUGGAAGCACGCUUUGUGACAUGGACGAGUCACUUAACUAUUGGUGACUCUAAGGCUACCCAGGUUGUAAUACAGCUUUGGAAAGGAGGCGACCGUGAGCUCCCUCUCACGGAUCUAGAUUGGUUUUUCCUUCCUUCGGUGUAAGAGCAUGCUAGGCCUAGAGAGAAAUGGUCAGGGAAAGUUCUCAGCCGGGUGCAGCUCCCACCAAAGCUCUCUCUGCUGAGGAAAAGCAGGGCGCUCCUACUGACUAGGUCUUGCUCCCAGGGCUAGUCCAGGAGCUGCUCCUUUCCCAGGCUUCCACCCACAGGCCUCAGGAAGGCUGGUCUAGGAUGAACAGGACAAGUCUCUAAUCCAACAGGCAACGUGCCCGUUAAUCAUCAGAGGAGCCCAAUUCACCCAGCAAGGCACCCUCCUCAUCUCCCCCCAUUCCCUGCUGAGGUCACCUUUCUUUUGCUGGAGACACAGAACGGAAUGAGCAAAUAGCCAACUAAAACAAUUGGACACAAUACGGGGCAUAAAUCGGAGCAGAAAGAUCCCAUCUGACCCCUUCCCCUCCCCAAGUGCUGCCAUCCUGCCCCGGGCUCCCAAACUGGGGACUGGGGCAAGGAAGCAAUGCCCAACUGCAACGGGUACUCAAGGGGCCUCCCGCACAGCUCCCACUGCCCGGAGCAUGUGCCAGGCGCCCGCUAGUCCAAAUGCUUCAUUUGCCAAGCGGGAGAAUGAGAGAAGGUAAGUAAGGGCCUGUGGGCAGGACCUUCCCCUAGUUCUACCCCUGAUCAUUACAUAUAUACAUGUCUAUAUGGAGAGAGAGACAGAGAGACAGAGAGACAGAGAGACAGAGAGAGAGAGAGACAGAGACAGAGACAGAGACAGAGAGAGAGAGAGAGAGAGAGAGAGAGAGAGAGAGAGAGAGAGAGAGAGAGAGAGAG